rnacentral:misc_RNA from 1 species
GGAAGUAAAAGUCGUAACAAGGUUUCCGUAGGUGAACCUGCGGAAGGAUCAUUACCGAGUGAGGGCCCUCUGGGUCCAACCUCCCACCCGUGUUUAUUUUACCUUGUUGCUUCGGCGGGCCCGCCUUUACUGGCCGCCGGGGGGCUCACACCCCCGGGCCCGCGCCCGCCGAAGACACCCUCGAACUCUGUCUGAAGAUUGAAGUCUGAGUGAAAAUAUAAAUUAUUUAAAACUUUCAACAACGGAUCUCUUGGUUCCGGCAUCGAUGAAGAACGCAGCGAAAUGCGAUACGUAAUGUGAAUUGCAAAUUCAGUGAAUCAUCGAGUCUUUGAACGCACAUUGCGCCCCCUGGUAUUCCGGGGGGCAUGCCUGUCCGAGCGUCAUUGCUGCCCUCAAGCCCGGCUUGUGUGUUGGGCCCCGUCCUCCGAUUCCGGGGGACGGGCCCGAAAGGCAGCGGCGGCACCGCGUCCGGUCCUCGAGCGUAUGGGGCUUUGUCACCCGCUCUGUAGGCCCGGCCGGCGCUUGCCGAUCAACCCAAAUUUUUAUCCAGGUUGACCUCGGAUCAGGUAGGGAUACCCGCUGAACUUAAGCAUAUCAAUAAGCGGAGGA